rnacentral:rRNA from 1 species
AGAGUUUGAUCCUGGCUCAGGAUGAACGCUGGCCGCGUGCCUAAUACAUGCAAGUCGAGCAAACGGACGAGAAGCUUGCUUCUCUGAUGUUAGGGGCGGACGGGUGAGUAACACGUGGAUAACCUACCUAUAAGACUGGGAUAACUUCGGGAAACCGGAGCUAAUACCGGAUAAUAUUUUGAACCGCAUGGUUCAAAAGUGAAAGACGUUCUUGCUGUCACUUAUAGAUGGAUCCGCGCUGCAUUAGCUAGUUGGUAAGGUAACGGCUUACCAAGGCAACAAUGCAUAGCCGACCUGAGAGGGUGAUCGGCCACACUGGAACUGAGACACGGUCCAGACUCCUACGGGAGGCAGCAGUAGGGAAUCUUCCGCAAUGGGCGAAAGCCUGACGGAGCAACGCCGCGUGAGUGAUGAAGGUCUUCGGAUCGUAAAACUCUGUUAUUAGGGAAGAACAUAUGUGUAAGUAACUGUGCACAUCUUGACGGUACCUAAUCAGAAAGCCACGGCUAACUACGUGCCAGCAGCCGCGGUAAAACGUAGGUGGCAAGCGUUAUCCGGAAUUAUUGGGCGUAAAGCGCGCGUAGGCGGUUUUUUAAGUCUGAUGUGAAAGCCCACGGCUCAACCGUGGAGGGUCAUUGGAAACUGGAAAACUUGAGUGCAGAAGAGGAAAGUGGAAUUCCAUGUGUAGCGGUGAAAUCGCAGAGAUAUAAAGGAACACCAGUGGCGAAGGCGACUUUCUGGUCUGUAACUGACGCUGAUGUGCGAAAGCGUGGGGAUCAAACAGGAUUAGAUACCCUGGUAGUCCACGCCGUAAACGAUGAGUGCUAAGUGUUAUGGGGUUUCCGCCCCUUACCCCUGCAGCUAACGCAUUAAGCACUCCGCCUGGGGAGUACGCCGCAAGGUUGAAACUCAAAGGAAUUGACGGGGACCCGCACAAGCGGUGGAGCAUGUGGUUUAAUUCGAAGCAACGCGAAGAACCUUACCAAAUCUUGACAUCCUUUGACAACUCUAGAGAUAGAGCCUUCCCCUUCGGGGGACAAAGUGACAGGUGGUGCAUGGUUGUCGUCAGCUCGUGUCGUGAGAUGUUGGGUUAAGUCCCGCAACGAGCGCAACCCUUAAGCUUAGUUGCCAUCAUUAAGUUGGGCACUCUAAGUUGACUGCCG